rnacentral:tRNA from 1 species
GGAGGGGUGCGCCGAAUUGGCAAGGCGCCAGUCUGGAGAACUGGUGGGCAUUUAUGCCCUUGCAGGUUCGAGUCCUGUCCCCUCCGCCA